GCGUCGUUAGCUCAAUUGGAUAGAGCAUCUGACUUCGGAUCAGAGGGUUGAGGGUUCAAAUCCUUUACGACGCG
rnacentral:tRNA from 1 species